rnacentral:rRNA from 1 species
GGUGAACGCUGGCGGUAGGCCUAACACAUGCAAGUCGAACGGCAGCACAGUAAGAGCUUGCUCUUACGGGUGGCGAGUGGCGGACGGGUGAGGAAUACAUCGGAAUCUACUUUUUCGUGGGGGAUAACGUAGGGAAACUUACGCUAAUACCGCAUACGACCUACGGGUGAAAGCAGGGGAUCUUCGGACCUUGCGCGAUUGAAUGAGCCGAUGUCGGAUUAGCUAGUUGGCGGGGUAAAGGCCCACCAAGGCGACGAUCCGUAGCUGGUCUGAGAGGAUGAUCAGCCACACUGGAACUGAGACACGGUCCAGACUCCUACGGGAGGCAGCAGUGGGGAAUAUUGGACAAUGGGCGCAAGCCUGAUCCAGCCAUACCGCGUGGGUGAAGAAGGCCUUCGGGUUGUAAAGCCCUUUUGUUGGGAAGGAAAAGCAGCAGGUUAAUACCCCGCUGUUCUGACGGUACCCAAAGAAUAAGCACCGGCUAACUUCGUG